rnacentral:rRNA from 1 species
UACGUAGGGGGCGAGCGUUGUCCGGAUUUACUGGGCGUAAAGCGCGCGUAGGCGGCUUUGCAAGUCGGGUGUGAAAUCCCCAGGCUUAACCUGGGAACUGCAUUCGAGACUGCAUUGCUAGAGUAUGGGAGAGGGAAGUGGAAUUCCGGUGUAGCGGUGAAAUGCGUAGAUAUCGGAAGAACAUCAGUGGCGAAAGCGACUUCCUGGACCAAUACUGACGCUCAUGUGCGAAAGCGUGGGGAGCAAACAGG